rnacentral:rRNA from 1 species
AUUGAACGCUGGCGGCAGGCCUAACACAUGCAAGUCGAGCGAGCGGCGGACGGGUGAGUAAUGUCUGGGAAACUGCCUGCUGGAGGGGGAUAACUACUGGAAACGGUAGCUAAUACCGCAUACCAUCAGAUGUGCCCAGAUGGGAUUGGCUGGUAGGUGGGGUAACGGCUCACCUAGGCGACGAUCCCUGGCUGGUCUGAGCGGAUGACCAGACACACUGGAACUGGGACAGGGUCCAGACUCCUACGGGAGGCAGCAGUGGGGAAUAGUGCACAAGGGGCACAAGCCUGAUGCAGCCAUGCCGCGUGUAUGGAGAAGGCCUUCGGGUUGUAAAGUACUUUCAGCGGGGAGGCGUUACCCGCAGAAGAAGCACCGGCUAACUCCGUGCCAGCAGCCGCGGUAAUAC